UGGCAGUAAUUUGUGCAACCCAUAGUGCAAGAGUUUAAUUUUGUGAAAAGGAUUUCCCAAAAGUCCUUUGAAAAUGAUGUCAAAAAGCAGGGUUACCUCAGCACUAAUUCUUUUCCAAUCUGAAGGUUUUGAGAUCACAACAAUAAAUAAUCACUGGAAGUACAAUCUGAUUAUGGAUAAAGGACCAAUAUCAUGUGCUAUAAAAUAGUUUUGUAUAUUUCAUCAGGGUGAGUAUACUUUUUAGCAAAUCUUUACGAUGAAAAAAAAAUGAAGAAAAGUUUGUAACUGACAGGUCCAUUCUGAAUUUCCUCCCAAUGCCAAGUGCCUCCGAUGCCUGGUGUGAAGAUCUGUAGUCUGGAGGCCCCUGUGCGUCCACACAUUAUUGAGCCUCUUCUAAGAGCAAAAUUCAGACCUGAACCGACACCGAAGGCAGAAGUAGCAGGGUACAACUCACACUUCAUACUUCAAUUUACUGCUUUGGAAGUCCCAAAUUUGCCUUGUAAUGAGCAAGUCCGACAAGCCGCAGUGAGGGGAACAUAUGAUGGAUCGAUGAUGUGCCUUGCCAACGUAACGCCAUGCUUCCAGUCACAUGAAGAGAACAUCGUAGCACUGGGUUCUCUAGACCCGGUUAAAGAGCCCUGGCUGAUGUAAAUAGCAAGAAGAAAUAGUUCCUUUCAAGCUCAGCUCAUUUUUCAAAAUUAUAAGCAAAUCAGUGAUUACGUUAUUUCAGUCAUAGAGGGUUUGGAUGCCCUGUUAUGAAACAAUAGAUAGCAGAAACCAUAGAGAUGAUAUAGCAGAAGGUUAGGAAAUGCAGCUCUUUCCAAUUUCCAUUAAGAAGUACUGCUUUGCAAAGGAAAGCCCUGCCAAUGUCAGAUGAUAUGAUUUGCAAUUUGAAAAUGUUAUGAUUGCAUGGUGUUUAACAGAUUGAAAAUGUCAUAUAAGAGUAUACAGGGAGAUCUAUGGAGAUGAAUUAUCAAGAUGCCAUGUUUCUCUGCUGAAAGAUGAUUUAGGAUUGAGCACAGAAAGUUGAUGUAGUAGAAAGAGUCAAUGUGUGAUAUCAUUUUGUCCAAUAUAUCCAUGAUAAAACAGCAGCUCAUAAUUCUACUGAAAAUGUGAAUAAUGCAAAAGAUAACUUGUUUUAGUUACUGACCAUUUUGGUUUGGUCCAAUUUUCCCUUUUGUUUCUCUGAAGAUUCGAUGUAAUUGACUCUUGACAGAGAAGCAAGAAGAAUCAGAAAGCAUUCUUAGAUGCAAUGACAAAUUUUUACCCUGUAUCAUCCAAUGUAACCUGUCCAUAUCUGAAUUCCUUGUGAAGGGUAGUGGGUAAGGGACAAAGAAGGAAACAGGAUCUAUUCUGGAAGAGGCAGAUGAACAAUUUCAUACAUAUCAUGGUUCAUCAAAGGUGGCUUAAUUUAAACUCCUGAUUGUAUAGGAUGUGUGUUUAGCUAGCAGGUAAGAAACUUUUACAGCAACCCAUAAUUGAGUCUAUAAGAUGCUGGAACUGUAGGUGAAAAAGAUAGACCACAUUUCAUGUAGACUUAGGUAUCUGAUUUUCAUCUGUUAUUUCCAUGUCACCUUAAAAUAUUUGAUCAUUUGAUUAAGAAAUACACAGAAUCA